AACGAACGCUGGCGGCGUGCUUAACACAUGCAAGUCGAACGGUGAAAGGGAGCUUGCUCCCUGGAUCAGUGGCGAACGGGUGAGUAACACGUGGGCAACCUGCCCCUGACUCUGGGAUAACGCUUCGAAAGAGGUGCUAAUACCGGACACGAACUCCCUUGGCAUCUUGGGAGUUGGAAAGUUUUUCGGUCAGGGAUGGGCCCGCGGCCUUUCAGCUUGUUGGUGAGGUAACGGCUCACCAAGGCGACGACGGGUAGCCGGCCUGAGAGGGCGACCGGCCACACGUGCACUGCGACCCGGCCCAGCAGCCUACGGGAUGCAGCAGUGGGUAAUAUUGCGGUGUGGGCGUAAGCCGGACGCAGCAACGCCGCGUGAGGGAUGACGUCCUUCGGGUUGUAGACCUCUUUCAGCAGGGAAGAAGCGAAAGUGACGGUACCUGCAGAAGAAGCACCGGCUAACUACGUGCCAGCCGCCGCCGUAAAAC
rnacentral:rRNA from 1 species